rnacentral:rRNA from 1 species
GACGAACGCUGGCGGCGUGCCUAAUACAUGCAAGUCGAACGCAGUGGGGACGGGUGAGUAACACGUGGGUAACCUCCCAUCAGAGGGGAUAACACUUGGAAACAGGUGCUAAACCGAUACUGAUGGAUGCACCCGCGGUGCAUUAGCUAGUGGGUGGGGUAACGGCUCACCAAGGCCACGAUGCAUAGCCUACCUGAGAGGGUGAUCGGCCACACUGGGACUGAGACACGGCCCAGAAUCCUACGGGAGGCAGCAGUAGGGAAUAUUCGGCAAUGGACGAAAGUCUGACCGAGCAACGCCGCGUGCGUGAAGAAGGUUUUCGGAUCGUAAAACUAUGUUGUUAGAGAAGCGGUAUCUGAACAGGAAGCCACGGCUAACUACGUGCCAGCAGCCGCGGUAAUUC